AAAGGAAUUGACGGAAGGGCACCACCAGGAGUGGAGCCGCGGCUUAAUUUGACUCAACACGGGGAAACUCACCCGGCCCGGACACCGUGAGGAUUGACAGAUUGAGAGCUCUUUCUUGAUUCGGUGGGUGGUGGUGCAUGGCCGUUCUUAGUUGGUGGAGCGAUUUGUCUGGUUAAUUCCGAUAACGAACGAGACUCUAGCCUAUUAAAUAGUUCGCCGCCCGUGAAUGGUAGCGGCGCCCUAACUUCUUAGAGGGACAAGCGGCGCUUAGCCGCACGAGAUUGAGCAAUAACAGGUCUGUGAUGCCCUUAGAUGUUCGGGGCCGCACGCGCGCUACACUGAAGGUGUCAGAGGGUCGAGUCCUCGUCUGACAAGGCUGGGCAACCCGUGCAGAAACGCUUUCGUGCUAGGGACUGGGGCUUGCAAUUCUUGCCCAUGAACGAGGAAUUCCCAGUAAGCGCGAGUCAUCAGCUCGUGUUGAUUACGUCCCUGCCCUUUGUACACACCGCCCGUCGCUACUACCGAUUGAACGGUUUAGUGAGGCCCUCGGACCUGCCCCGGGCUGGCGGUUAUCUGCCGGCCCUGGUUGUCGCGGAGAAGACGGUCGAACUUGAUCAUUUAGAGGAAGUAAAAGUCGUAACAAGGUUUCCGUAGG
rnacentral:rRNA from 1 species